AGAAAGAUGUUCCAAUAGAACAGCUGCUAACAAAGUUCUCUUCUAUAGAUAGCCCUGUACUUCCUUGUUUAUGUUAUACUCCACUGGAUGCUUGCUGAAUGUUAAAGUUGGACCAAAUAUUUCAUGUAAAGCACCAUACAUUGCAGAGAAUUAUCUGGGGUCUAAUGAUCACUUGUCUGAGAAAGCUUGCAAGAAGACUUCAUGGAUUUUGUGGAAAAGGUGAAGCCCUGUGGGAUUUGAAAAAAAUAGGAAUUUCUUCCAAGUUAAAAGUAACUAUUGAA
rnacentral:lncRNA from 1 species